rnacentral:pre_miRNA from 1 species
AAGUAAAUCAUUUGGAGAUCUUUUUAAAAUGCAGAUUCUGAUUCAGUAGGUCUAAGAUGGGGCCUGAGAUUUUGCAUUUCUUACAAGCUCUUAGAUAAUGCCAGU